rnacentral:rRNA from 1 species
AUUGAACGCUGGCGGAAUGCUUUACACAUGCAAGUCGAACGGCAGCACGGGAGCUUGCUCCUGGUGGCGAGUGGCGAACGGGUGAGUAAUGCGUCGGAACGUACCGAGUAAUGGGGGAGUAACGCAGCGAAAGACUGUGCUAAUACCGCAUACGCCCUGAGGGGAAAGGUAGGGGAGUCGCAAGACCUCACGUUAUUCGAGCGGCCGACGUCUGAUUAGCUAGUUGGUGGGGUAAAGGACCGUACCAAGGCGACGAUCAGUAGCGGGUCGUGAGAGGAGUGACUCCGCCACACUGGAACUGAGACACGGUCCAGACUCCUACGGAGGCAGCAGUGGGGAAUUUUGGACAAUGGGCGAAAGCCUGAUCCAGCAAUGCCGCGUGAGUGAUGAAGGCCUUAGGGUUGUAAAGCUCUUUUACCUAGGGAUGAUAAUGACAGUACCUGGAGAAUAAGCUCCGGCUAACUCCGUGCCAGCAGCCGCGGUAAUGU